rnacentral:rRNA from 1 species
UACAGAGGUCCCGAGCGUUGUUCGGAUUUAUUGGGCGUAAAGGGUGCGUAGGUGGCAAGUAAGUUGGAUGUGAAAUCCUGGGGCUCAACCUCAGAAUUGCAUUCAAUACUGCUUAGCUAGAGAGCUGUAGAGGAGACUGGAAUUUACGGUGUAGCAGUGAAAUGCGUAGAUAUCGUAAGGAACGCCAGUGGCGAAAGCGAGUCUCUGGGCAGCAUCUGACACUGAGGCACGAAGGCCAGGGGAGCAAACAGG